rnacentral:rRNA from 1 species
UGGGGAAUAUUGCGCAAUGGGCGAAAGCCUGACGCAGCGACGCCGCGUGGGGGAUGAAGCUUCUCGGAGUGUAAACCCCUUUCGACCCGGACGAAUGACCCGCAAGGGUUUGACGGUACGGGUAUAAGAAGCCCCGGCUAACUACGUGCCAGCAGCCGCGGUAAUACGUAGGGGGCCAGCGUUGCUCGGAAUUACUGGGCGUAAAGGGUUCGUAGGUGGUGCGGUAAGUUGGAAGUGAAAUCUCUGGGCUUAACCCAGAGGCUGCUUUCAAAACUGUCGCGCUCGAGUGCGAGAGAGGUCAGUGGAAUUGCAGGUGUAGCGGUGAAAUGCGUNNNUAUCUGCAGGAACACCCGUGGCGAAGGCGGCUGACUGGAUCGCAACUGACACUGAGGAACGAAAGCUAGGGGAGCAAACAGGAUUAGAUACCCUGGUAGUCCUAGCCCUAAACCAUCGGAACUUGGGGUGGCCCGCGU